UCUGUCAUUGUGUUUCUAUCUGAGUAAAGACAUUAAACUGAGUUUGAUUGUGCAUAAGAUGUCGGUCACAGCAGGAGUUAGAGAUGUUGCACUUGCGACUAGGGCAAAACUACAAGGUGGGAUUGGUCAGACUAGAGUGGGGAGAUAUUGGCCUGGAAAAGCUCCCGAGUGGGCCAAGGAAGAUCAUGAUCAUGAUGAUGAUCAUCAUCUUGGGAUACACAAGAAGAAGAAGGUUGAUGUUUUGGAUGAUGAGUUGGAUCAGAGGGACAAGGAUGAUGAUCCAAGGCUGCGCCGUUUAGGUCAAGUUAGAGCUGAUCAUCGGCGAGUUAGAGAGGCGGCUGAGGUUGUGUCUACAGAAGAAGAAGAGACUAUAGAGAAGGAGGAGGAAGAAGAUGUAGAAGCCUUGGAAGAAAGAAGACGCAGAAUUAGAGAAAAGAAUCUUAAAAGAACUCGAGAGGAGGCUGAUCUAAUGCUUCCUCUGGAAGAUGAAGAUGAAGAAGAGGUACAAGAGGAGGAAGAGUCAGAGUACGAGACUGAUUCAGAAUACGAGAUGUUCGGUUUCAAGAUGAUCAAGCCUGUCUUUGUACCGAAAGCUGAGAGGGAUACAAUAGAGGAACGUGAGAGGAUGGAGGCUGAAGAAGAAGCUCUUGAGGAACUAGCAAAGAAGAAGCUUGAGAUGAGGAAGAUUGAGACCAAGGCAAUAGUGGUUGAAGAAGUUAGAAAAGACGAAGAGAGACGCAAGAACGCGAUACUGGAAGAAGAUGCAAAUCUUGGAGAUGUUGAGACUGAUGAUGAGACCAAUGAAGCUGAAGAGUACGAAGCUUGGAAGACAAGGGAGCUUGGUAAGAUCAAGAGAGAGAAAGAAGCAAGGGGAGCUAUAUUGAGAGAGAAGGAAGAAGUAGACAAGUUGAGGAACAUGACAGAAGAGGAGAGGAAAGAAUGGGAGAGGGAUAACAAUCCCAAGCCAUCUUCAUCAGAGAAACCGAAAAAGAAGUGGAAGUUUAUGCAAAGAUACUACCACAAGGGUGCCUACUUCCAAGAGCAAGGAUCUGAUGAAACUGAUGUUAUAUUUCAACGUGAUUACUCUGCUCCAACAGGAGUAGAUAAGCUGGACAAGUCGGUUCUGCGAGAAGUCAUGCAGGUGAAGAAAUUUGGUCGGAGUGGAGGAACUAAGUGGACUCACCUUGUUAAAGAGGAUACAACAUAUGGUGGCAAAAACAAAAAAGAUGAAACAAAGGAUUGGAAUGACCCUUGGGUCUCUAAUGUUUUUCUACGACAAAAGUACAAUAAGAGAAUGGCGGCCAUGGAUGCUCCUAUUGCAAGACCGAAGGGUAGCAAGAGGAUGAAAGCUUGGUGAGACCUAAGUGGUAUGUUGCAAGUAAAACAAUACAUCUUCCUUAGAAUUUUACUUCUUGUUGCGUUUUGUAAACUACGAAUGCUCUACAGUCUCUGCUAUCAGUUUAUAGUUUCAUCCUAAUACUUACUUUUUUUUUUUGUUUCUUUAAUUCAGAUAACAAAUUCAAAAGAGGGCAAUACAUGUCUUAAACCAUCAAAAAGGAUCUUCUUGAAAAACAUCAAAGCGGUUCUCUCAAGAAAGAGAACAACAGCUUUGAAUUGAGUGAUUUAAGUAAGACAGGUAAAUAACUGAGUUUAGCAUUAGCAUUAGAAACAUGUAACUAGUUUUAAGGUUUGACAUUUCUCCUAAGAUAUAACAAGUUAAUCGAUCUAACAUCUAUCUAUCUUUCAGAGUAUGGCAGAUAGGGACCAUUCGUUGUAGUAAAACAGAGAUGGACACUGGCCUUGAUUUUGGCCAACAUGAUCUUGAACCUAUCAAACUCAUUGAGGACAGCUCUUCUCUUCUGCACUAUUAGCUCCCGACCCCAUGAACUCUUCUCCCACCUGUUCUUCACAUAUGCAAAAGUUUCAACAGGUCAAGAUGACACAAUGUCAAGUCACCAGCUUUGUGCAUAGCCUCAAUGAGAUUCUUCUUGAUAUCGAUAAAGGAUGAACACAAGUGAAAACAAACACGUAGAUUCCUCAGACAUAUGGUGAAUGGGUGCAACAAAUUUGAUUCAAAUACACAGUUCAUAGGUGGCAAGUGAAACUUAAUAGUGAUUAACUGUAACAAAUUUGAUUCAAAUAUACACGUGAUAUUACAUUUAAAGCCAUUCCAAAGAGGAAGAAGAAAAUAAACAAAACAAAACAAAACAAACAAAAAAUUGCAGAGAUAUAAAAGAAUCAUGGAAACUGCUCUAAGAGUACAUUCAUAUAUUCAUUUAGAAUUCAAUGCAAAAUUACAUCAGCUGGAGGAA